rnacentral:rRNA from 1 species
UGGGGAAUUUUCCGCAAUGGGCGCAAGCCUGACGGAGCAAGACCGCGUGGGGGAGGAAGGCUCUUGGGUCGUAAACCCCUUUUGUCAGGGAAGAACCCCCUGACGGUACCUGACGAAUCAGCCUCGGCUAACUCCGUGCCAGCAGCCGCGGUAAUACGGAGGAGGCAAGCGUUAUCCGGAAUUAUUGGGCGUAAAGCGUCCGCAGGUGGCCGAGUAAGUCUGCUGUCAAAGACCACGGCUCAACUGUGGGCAGGCAGUGGAAACUGCGCGGCUAGAGUGCGGUAGGGGUAGAGGGAAUUCCCGGUGUAGCGGUGAAAUGCGUAGAGAUCGGGAAGAACACCGGUGGCGAAGGCGCUCUACUGGGCCGCAACUGACACUCACAGGACGAAAGCUAGGGGAGCGAAAGGGAUUAGAUACCCCCGUAGUCC